rnacentral:rRNA from 1 species
GACGAACGCUGGCGGCGUGCCUAAUACAUGCAAGUAGGACGCAGUUGCGAACGGGUGCGUAACGCGUAGGUAACUACCUAUUAGAGGUGGAUAACUAUUGGAAACGAUCGCUAAUACCGCAUACUAGUAGAUGGACCUUCUUUGUAGUAGCUAGUAGGUAGGGUAAUGGCCUACCUAGGCAACGAUACAAUGCCGACAUGAGAGGGUGAGCGGGCAAACGGGGACGGAGACACGGCCCAGACUCCAACGGGAGGCAACAGUAGGGAAUCUUCGGAAAUGGGGGGAAGCCUGACCAAGCAACGCCGAGUGAGGGAAGAAGGUUUUAGGAUCGUAAAGCUCUGUUGUUAAGGAAGCGGUACUUAACCGGAAAGGGACGGCUAACUACGUGCCAGCAGCCGCGGUAAUUC